rnacentral:rRNA from 1 species
CCCUAGCUGGUCUGAGAGGAUGACCAGCCACACUGGAACUGAGACACGGUCCAGACUCCUACGGGAGGCAGCAGUGGGGAAUAUUGCACAAUGGGCGCAAGCCUGAUGCAGCCAUGCCGCGUGUGUGAAGAAGGCUUCGGGUUGUAAAGCACUUUCAGCGGGGAGGAAGGCGAUAAGGUUAAUAACCUUGUCGAUUGACGUUACCCGCAGAAGAAGCACCGGCUAACUCCGUGCCAGCAGCCGCGGUAAUACGGAGGGUGCAAGCGUUAAUCGGAAUUACUGGGCGUAAAGCGCACGCAGGCGGUCUGUCAAGUCGGAUGUGAAAUCCCCGGGCUCAACCUGGGAACUGCAUUCGAAACUGGCAGGCUAGAGUCUUGUAGAGGGGGGUAGAAUUCCAGGUGUAGCGGUGAAAUGCGUAGAGAUCUGGAGGAAUACCGGUGGCGAAGGCGGCCCC